AAAAUUGCAGUUGAAACUGGAAGCCUUGAGUGCGGCAGAGGCAGGCGGAAUUCGUGGUGUAGCGGUGAAAUGCUUAGAUAUCACGAAGAACUCCGAUUGCGAAGGCAGCUUGCUGGAGCGUAACUGACGCUGAUGCUCGAAAGUGCGGGUAUCAAACAGGAUUAGAUACCCUGGUAGUCCGCACAGUAAACGAUGAAUACUCGCUGUUGGCGAUAUACGGUCAGCGGCUUAGCGAAAGCGUUAAGUAUUCCACCUGGGGAGUACACCGGCAACGGUGAAACUCAAAGGAAUUGACGGGGGCCCGCACAAGCGGAGGAACAUGUGGUUUAAUUCGAUGAUACGCGAGGAACCUUACCCGGGCUUGAAUUGCACAGGAAUGGCUUGGAAACAGGCCGGUCUUCGGACCUGUGUGAAGGUGCUGCAUGGUUGUCGUCAGCUCGUGCCGUGAGGUGUCGGCUUAAGUGCCAUAACGAGCGCAACCCUUAUUUCCAGUUACCAUCAGGUAAUGCUGGGGACUCUGGAGAGACUGCCGUCGUAAGAUGUGAGGAAGGUGGGGAUGACGUCAAAUCAGCACGGCCCUUACGUCCGGGGCUACACACGUGUUACAAUGGGGGGUACAGCAGGCUGCUACCCGGCGACGGGAUGCCAAUCCGUAAAACCCCUCUCAGUUCGGACUGGAGUCUGCAACCCGACUCCACGAAGCUGGAUUCGCUAGUAAUCGCGCAUCAGCCACGGCGCGGUGAAUACGUUCCCGGGCCUUGUACACACCGUCCGUCAAGCCAUGAAAGCCGGGGGUACCUGAAGUGCGUAACCGCAAGGAGCGUCCUAGGGUAAAACUGGUGAUUGGGGCUAAGUCGUAACAAGGUAACCA
rnacentral:rRNA from 1 species